rnacentral:rRNA from 1 species
GGAAGCAAAUAAGGGCGUACGGGGGAUGCCUAGGCUCUCAGAGGCGACGAAGGACGUGGUAAGCUGCGAAAAGCUGCGGGGACUUGCAAACGAGGAUUGAUCCGCAGAUGUCCGAAUGGGGCAACCUAGCAGGCUGAAGGCCUGUUGUGAAAACGCGAACCCAGGGAACUGAAACAUCUAAGUACCUGGAGGAAAAGAGAACAAAUGUGAUUCCCUAAGUAGUGGCGAGCGAAAAGGGACAAGCCCAUUAAGUUAUGUAUAUUUUAGUGGAAUAAUUAUGGAAAGAUUAACCGGAGAGGGUGAAAGUCCCGUACACGAAAGGGUAUAUAUAAUGAAUUGAGUAGGGCGGAACUGGAGAAAUUCUGUCUGAAUAUACCAGCACCAUCUGGUAAGGCUAAAUACUCCUGAGAGACCGAUAGUGAACCAGUACCGUGAGGGAAAGGUGAAAAGAACCCCGAGCAGGGGAGUGAAAAGACCCUGAAACCGUACGUCUACAAGCGGUCGAAGAUUUUAGGAUCGACGGCGUGCCUUUUGCAUAAUGAGCCUACGAGUUAUACCUUUCUAGCGAGUUUAAGCACUUCAGGUGCGUAGGCGCAGCGAAAGCGAGUCUGAACAGGGCGAUAGCUAGGAGGGAUAGACGCGAAACCAAGUGAUCUACCCAUGGGCAGGUUGAAGUGUGGAUAGUCUCCCCAUGGAGGACCGAACCGGUAAACGUUGAAAAGUUUUCGGAUGACCUGUGGGUAGGGGUGAAAGGCUAAUCAAACUUGGAGAUAGCUCGUACUCCCCGAAAUGCAUUUAGGUGCAGCGUUGGGAAGAGUGUCAUGGAGGUAGAGCUACCAAUAGGGCUAGGGGGCUUCACCGCCUACCAACCCCUGAUGAACUCCGAAUGCCAUGACAUUGCACCAGCAGUGAGGCUACGGGUGCUAAGGUCCGUGGCCGAGAGGGAAAGAACCCAGACCAUCAGCUAAGGUCCCAAAAUCUAAACUAAGUUGAAUAAACGAUGUGGGGAUGCAGUGACAGCUAGGAUGUUUGCUUGGAAGCAGCAAUUCAUUUAAAGAGUGCGUAACAGCUCACUAGUCGAGCGUUCCUGCGCGGAAAAUGAUCGGGCAUCAAGUUUAGUACCGAAGCUAUGGACUCUACGGAGUGGUAGGGGAGCAUUCUAGCGACGCAGAAGCUGUACUGUGAGGUAUGGUGGAGUUUCUAGAAAAGAAAAUGUAGGCAUGAGUAACGAUAAUUCCGGUGAGAAACCGGAACGCCGUAAGACUAAGGUUUCCUGGCUCGAUGUUAAUCAGAACAGGGUUAGUCGGGGCCUAAGGCGAACCCGAGAGGGGUAGUUAAUGGACAACAGGUUAAUAUUCCUGUACUUGCAUCUACUAAAAAGGUGACGGAGCGAAGGAUUUGUCAGGUACUGACGGAAAUGUGCCUUUGAGGAGGACCUACGGGGAAUUCGAGACAAAGAAUGAGCUUCCAAGAAAAGCCGAAAGAUGCAACCCGUACCGUAAACCGACACAGGUAGUCGAGGAGAGUAUCCUAAGGCGCUCGAGUGAAUCGUGGUUAAGGAACUAGGCAAAAUAGCCCCGUAACUUCGGGAGAAGGGGCGCUCCUUGCAAGAGGAGCCGCAGUGAAAAGGCCCAAGCGACUGUUUAACAAAAACACAGGACUCUGCAAAAUCGCAAGAUGAAGUAUAGGGUCUGACACCUGCCCGGUGCUGGAAGGUUAAGGAAGGGAGUUAGUUUCGGCGAAGCUCUUGACUGAAGCCCCAGUAAACGGCGGCCGUAACUAUAACGGUCCUAAGGUAGCGAAAUUCCUUGUCGGGUAAGUUCCGACCUGCACGAAUGGUGUAACGAUUUGGGCACUGUCUCAACCACGAGCUCGGUGAAAUUGAAGUAUCGGUGAAGAUACCGGUUACCCGCAACGGGACGGAAAGACCCCGUGAACCUUUACUGCAGCUUCACGUUGAGCUUGAGCAUAAGAUGUGUAGGAUAGGUGGGAGACGUUGAAGGGCUGACGCUAGUUGGUUUGGAGUCGUCCUUGAAAUACCACCCUUUUUAUGCUUAGGUUCUAACCUGUAUACAGGGACAUCGUGUGGUGGGUAGUUUGACUGGGGUGGUCGCCUCCAAAAGAGUAACGGAGGCUCGCAAAGGUACCCUCAGCAUGGUCGGUAAUCAUGCGCAGAGCGUAUAAGUAUAAGGGUGCUUGACUGAGAGACGGACGCGUCGAACAGGGACGAAAGUCGGCUUAAGUGAUCCGGUGGUUCCGCAUGGAAGGGCCAUCGCUCAAAGGAUAAAAGGUACUCCGGGGAUAACAGGCUGAUCUCCCCCAAGAGCUCACAUCGACGGGGAGGUUUGGCACCUCGAUGUCGGCUCGUCGCAUCCUGGGGCUGGAGAAGGUCCCAAGGGUUGGGCUGUUCGCCCAUUAAAGCGGCACGCGAGCUGGGUUCAGAACGUCGCAAGACAGUUCGGUCCCUAUCUGUUGUGGGCGUAGGAGUAUUGCGGAGAUCUGACUCUAGUACGAGAGGACCGGGUUGGACGCACCGCUAGUGUACCAGUUGUGGCGCCAGCUGCAUCGCUGGGUAGCUAUGUGCGGAACGGAUAAGCACUGAAAGCAUCUAAGUGCGAAGCCAACUCCAAGAUGAGUACUCCAUUGAGGGCCCUAGAAGAUGACUAGGUUGAUAGGCUACAGGUGGAAGUAUAGUGAUGUAUGGAGCCGAGUAAUAUCGUGACUGGGAAAC